GACGAACGCUGGCGGCGUGCUUAACACAUGCAAGUCGAACGGAAAGGCCCUGCUUGCCGGGUACUCGAGUGGCGAACGGGUGAGUAACACGUGGGUGAUCUGCCCUGCACUUCGGGAUAAGCCUGGGAAACUGGGUCUAAUACCGGAUAGGAGCCAUUUUUAGUGUGAUGGUUGGAAAGUUUUUUCGGUGUAGGAUGAGCUCGCGGCCUAUCAGCUUGUUGGUGGGGUAAUGGCCUACCAAGGCGGCGACGGGUAGCCGGCCUGAGAGGGUGGACGGCCACAUUGGGACUGAGAUACGGCCCAGACGCCUACGGGAGGCAGCAGGGGGGAAGAUUGCACAAUGGGCGCAAGCCUGAUGCAGCGACGCCGCGUGGGGGAUGACGGCCUUCGGGUUGUAAACUCCUUUCGCUAGGGACGAAGCUUUUUGUGACGGUACCUAGAUAAGAAGCACCGGCUAACUACGUG
rnacentral:rRNA from 1 species